GAUGAAGAACGUAGCGAAAUGCGAUAAGUAGUGUGAAUUGCAGAAUUCAGUGAAUCAUCGAAUCUUUGAACGCACAUUGCGCCCCUCGGUAUUCCGUGGGGCACGCCUGUUCGAGCGUCAUUUACACCCUCAAGCGCAGCUUGGUGUUGGGCGUCUGUCCCGCUCUCCGUAGCGCGGACUCGCCUCAAAGUCAUUGGUGGCGGUCGUGCCGGCUCCUCGCGCAGCACAUUUGCGCUUCUCGGAGGCCCGGCGGAUCGGCAUCCAGCAAGCUACUUUUUAUGACUUGACCUCGGAUCAGGUGAGGAUACCCGCUGAACUUAAGCAUAUCAAUAAGCGGAGGA
rnacentral:misc_RNA from 1 species